rnacentral:rRNA from 1 species
GGAAUAUUGCGCAAUGGAGGCAACUCUGACGCAGCCAUGCCGCGUGCAGGAAGACGGCCCUACGGGUUGUAAACUGCUUUUAUCAGGGAAGAAACCCCUUUACGUGUAAAGGGUUGACGGUACCUGAGGAAUAAGCCCCGGCCAACUCCGUGCCAGCAGCCGCGGUAAUACGGAGGGUGCAAGCGUUAUCCGGAUUCAUUGGGUUUAAAGGGUGCGUAGGCGGAAUAUUAAGUCAGUGGUGAAAUCCUGCAGCUCAACUGUAGAAUUGCCAUUGAUACUGGUAUUCUUGAGUGCGCUUGAAGUAGGCGGAAUGUGCCGUGUAGCGGUGAAAUGCUUAGAUAUGGCACAGAACACCAAUUGCGAAGGCAGCUUACUAAGGCGAUACUGACGCUGAGGCACGAAAGCGUGGGGAUCGAAC